GGGGAUGUAGCUCAGUGGGAGAGCGUACGGCUCGCAUCCGUAAGGUCGAGGGUUCGACACCCUUCAUCUCCACCA
rnacentral:tRNA from 1 species